GGAAGAUUCGCCAAACUGGUAUGGCAGCGGUCUAGAAAACCGACAUGGAGGUCAGCGAUGGUCUCUUGGGGGUUCGAGUCCUCCAUCUUCCGCCA
rnacentral:tRNA from 1 species